GGGCUGCUAGCUCAACUGGCAGAGCAGCGGACUUUUAAUCCGUAGGUUCCGGGUUCGAUCCCCGGGCGGCCCACCA
rnacentral:tRNA from 1 species